rnacentral:tmRNA from 1 species
GGGGGUGACAGGUUUCGACGUCGUUCUCUGAGCCAGGGGAAGCGGGUCGAGGAUGCAAGGUCAACUCGUUGAUGCUCCUUGCAAACCUAUAGGUGCCGAUUCCAAGCGCACCGACUUCGCCCUCGCCGCCUGAGCGAGGAGCAGAGGUCCGUCGGUCUGAGAGUGCUCUCGACUCAGUAACCGGCGUCAGCUAGAGAGCCACUGGGUGCGGUCCUCGCCAUCGGGGCCGCACCGACAUCCAGAUGGCUGGGCCCGGGUCAGCGGCGCGCCUGCGCGACCGCUGGGGCCGAGAAACUCCCGAGCAGGCUGCACCCGGAGAAGCCCUGGCGAUGCGACGACGGACCCGGGUUCGAUUCCCGGCACCUCCACGU